rnacentral:rRNA from 1 species
GAUGAACGCUGGCGGCGUGCUUAACACAUGCAAGUCGAACGGACCCUUCGGGGUUAGUGGCGGACGGGUGAGUAACACGUGGGAACGUACCUUUAGGUUCGGAACAACUCAGGGAAACUUGAGCUAAUGCCGAAUGUGCCCUUCGGGGGAAAGAUUUAUCGCCUUUAGAGCGGCCCGCGUCUUAUUAGCUAGUUGGUGAGGUAAAGGCUGACCAAGGCUACGAUCAGUAGCUGGUAUGAGAGGAUGAUCAGCCACACUGGGACUGAGACACGGCCCAGACUCCUACGGGAGGCAGCAGUGGGGAAUCUUGCGCAAUGGGCGAAAGCCUGACGCAGCCAUGCCGCGUGAAUGAUGAAGGUCUUAGGAUUGUAAAGUUCUUUCACCGGGGACGAUAAUGACGGUACCCGGAGAGGAAGCCCCGGCUAACUUCGUGCCAGCAGCCGCAGUAA